rnacentral:ncRNA from 2 species
GGCAUCGAGUGUCAGCGUCAAGCCCUGGCUUGCUGACCGGCAACCCUCCCCCGCGGUGGGGUGCUCCAGGUGAAAGCCCGGCAGGAUCAUCGGCGAUCCCUGCAAGCGCGUGGC